AACGUAGGGGGCGAGCGUUAUCCGGAUUUACUGGGCGUAAAGCGCAUGUAGGCGGUUGGGAAAGUUGGACGUGAAAGCUCCCGGCUUAACUGGGAGAGGUCGUUCGAUACUACCCGGCUGGAGGUUGGAAGAGGAGAGUGGAAUUCCCGGUGUAGUGGUGGAAUGCGUAGAUAUCGGGAGGAACACCAGUGGCGAAAGCGGCUCUCUGGACCAAUUCUGACGCUGAGAUGCGAAAGCGUGGGGAGCAAAC
rnacentral:rRNA from 1 species